rnacentral:rRNA from 1 species
UACGAAGGGGGCUAGCGUUGCUCGGAAUCACUGGGCGUAAAGCGCACGUAGGCGGCUUCUUAAGUCAGGGGUGAAAUCCUGGAGCUCAACUCCAGAACUGCCUUUGAUACUGAGGAGCUUGAGUCCGGGAGAGGUGAGUGGAACUGCGAGUGUAGAGGUGAAAUUCGUAGAUAUUCGCAAGAACACCAGUGGCGAAGGCGGCUCACUGGCCCGAUACUGACGCUGAGGUGCGAAAGCGUGGG